GGGUUGCCUCUGCAGGUCCAGGAGCAGUACAGGACAUGGCUCAAGAGGAUCAGGAAACAGACAACUGAGCCCGAGUCCUACACUUUGUCUAGCAAGGCUGUGUCCGAUGCCUCCUGACCCAGCACGGUAAGGUCGCUCCCUCCUGCCAGAGCUCACGUUCCCUGGUUUUGGCAGGGUUUCUCUCCUCCUAUCCACAGACCAUGCUUCCCCUGGCUCCUGGACUCCACCAUCUUGCCUCCCUGUGCACUGACCUUACAUGAUUCUGUCUCCCUCCCUCCCACCCACCUCCUUCCUGCUUAUUAUCAUUUGUCCCCACCCUUAUCUGAGUCUCCUAAAGACCCUGGUGAUGACCUUAGGCUCACCUGGACAAUCCAGGAUGAUUUUCUCAUCUCAAGAUGUUUAACAUGCAUAAUCCCACUGAUAUGUGAAAUGCAAACAUUGAUCUCAUAGAAACAAAGUGUAGAACAGUGGUUCCCAGAGGCUGGGAGGAGGGGGUGGGAAAAGCUUGAUCAGUGGGUACUAAGUUACAGUCAGGAGAAAGAAGCUCUGUGGUGUGUCGCACAGUAGGGCCACUAGACCACAAAGUGCACUGUGCCUUUCUAACAGCUCUGAGGGGCUGGGGGCCGCUCAGUGGGAGGGCUCUUGCCUGGUACGUGCAAGACCCCGGGCUCCAUCCUAGCACCAAGUCUCUUUAAAUUAUAAAGGAAUGAUUUUAAGAGUUUUUACCACAAAUAACUAAUGCAUGUUGGAGGAGAUAGUUAUGUUUAAUCUGAUGUAAACACUCACACUGUAGACAGGCAGGGAAACAUCACAUUAUACCAUUAGUAUGUGCCAUCUAAGUAGAUUUAAUGUAAAAUUAGAUUUUUUAAUCUUUAACAUACUCCUUCUUGAGAAUUACCUUUUCCAGGCAGGGUAACACUCACAGGCUAUGGGGUUAGGGUGUGGACAUCUGUGGGGUCAUUAUUUUGUCUAUCACACCAAGUACAUAGGUUGGGUUUCUCUCUCAUGGAGCUGUCAAAAUCUGCAUCUGGUUGUAGAUAAAUGAAUAGAUUUACCACUCCUUCCCUCCUCCACAGCCCUAGGAAUGAUAUACACAUUGAAGAAAGGCAACGUCAACAUUUUAUAUAGAAAAUAAGAAACCAUCAGAUAGGGAACGAAGGCUUCUGAAAUUCAGGUGAUAUGAUCAGGCGUUUCUACCAUCUUGGGCACUGGACUGUGAGGGUCCACUCUGUUGGUGGCCUGAUGUCAUUUUAUCUUCCAGUGUCUCCUUUAAUGGGGCAUCUGCAGGGUUUCAGUUGCUGGAGUAUCUUCCUCUCAUUUUGGAAACCCUCCCUUGGCUCAUUUCAUAAAAACAAAACAUUUUGUCUUGUAACCAGUUCUGAAUAAUUUUCUGAAGCACAGCAUUCAUAAGGCUCCAGUGAAUCAGCCUCACUUCUUAGAAAGUCCAAAAUCAGCAAAAUGAAAUCUCAUGUGGCCUCUUGAUCAUGCCUUGAUAAAUCCAUCAGGCAAGAAAAUAUUGUGAUUGAAGUGUGUGUGUGUGUGUGUGUGUGAGUGUGUGUGUGUCUGUGUGUGUGUUUGCAUGCAACAUCAUACCCCAUAAAGGGAUGAUAAUUAUUUGUCAAUUGAAAUUUUUAAAAAUUAGGAGCAGGAUUGUUGCUAAGACCCUUCAGUGCUCAUCCCUCAGGCAGAACGGCUUAACAAACUCAUUGUGUAUUUUGGGGGUGUGUCCCAUGAAUAUACAGAAAAUAAAAUGGUUACUAUAAUAAUGGAAAUUAACUUACCCAUCAUCUCACAUUCUUGUUUGUACUUGAGCAGCUGAAAUCUCUUUAUCUAACAAAUAUUUUCUUUCCUUUUUUAAAUGGAAGCUGUGAGUUAUUUUUCAAUAAUCUUAUGUCAUUUUAAAAUAAUUAUCAUUCCAGACUGAUUAGAAAGAUCAUGGGAGCUACAUCCUCCUUCCCCAUGGAAAAUCUGAACCGCCAUUUUUAGUCAUUAGGACAGGACAAAGACUUUUGUGCUGUGUGUUUCAAGAUAUUCAUGGUGUUGGACACGUGAAGGGAUUCUUGGAGGACAUGAUCGACAUUCAAUACCUGCAGAACCUGAAAUCUGUCCAUGCCCAACAUGGUGCUGGGCAAACUCAACAUCCAGAUGCCAUCUGCAGCCCAAUUCCUCAGUUUCUCUGUUAAACGUUCUUAUACUGCCCACCCUACCUAUGAGGCCUCUUCCAUGCAAACAUUCUAGAAGAAAGAAAACCAGCCUCCCAGGAUGCUCACAUCAACAACAUUCAAAAGGAAUAGAACCUGCCUUAAACUUUUU
rnacentral:lncRNA from 1 species